UGCAAGUCGAACGGGAAUCUUCGGAUUCUAGUGGCGGACGGGUGAGUAACGCGUAAGAAUCUAACUUCAGGACGGGGACAACAGUUGGAAACGACUGCUAAUACCCGAUGUGCCGAAAGGUGAAACCUAAUUGGCCUGAAGAAGAGCUUGCGUCUGAUUAGCUAGUUGGUGGGGUAAGAGCCUACCAAGGCGACGAUCAGUAGCUGGUCUGAGAGGAUGAGCAGCCACACUGGGACUGAGACACGGCCCAGACUCCUACGGGAGGCAGCAGUGGGGAAUUUUCCGCAAUGGGCGAAAGCCUGACGGAGCAACGCCGCGUGAGGGAGGAAGGUCUUUGGAUUGUAAACCUCUUUUCUCAAGGAAGAAGUUCUGACGGUACUUGAGGAAUCAGCCUCGGCUAACUCCGUGCCAGCAGCCGCGGUAAUACGGGGGAGGCAAGCGUUAUCCGGAAUUAUUGGGCGUAAAGCGUCCGCAGGUGGUCAGCCAAGUCUGCCGUCAAAUCAGGUUGCUUAACGACCUAAAGGCGGUGGAAACUGGCAGACUAGAGAGCAGUAGGGGUAGCAGGAAUUCCCAGUGUAGCGGUGAAAUGCGUAGAGAUUGGGAAGAACAUCGGUGGCGAAAGCGUGCUACUGGGCUGUAUCUGACACUCAGGGACGAAAGCUAGGGGAGCGAAAGGGAUUAGAUACCCCUGUAGUCCUAG
rnacentral:rRNA from 1 species